rnacentral:tRNA from 1 species
GAGGGUGUAGCUCAGUGGUAGAGUGCCUGCUCAGCAUGCAUGAGGUCCGGGGUUCAAUCCCUAGUACCUCCA